AUUGAACGCUGGCGGCAGGCCUAACACAUGCAAGUCGAGCGGAUGAAGGGAGCUUGCUCCUGGAUUCAGCGGCGGACGGGUGAGUAAUGCCUAGGAAUCUGCCUGGUAGUGGGGGAUAACGUCCGGAAACGGGCGCUAAUACCGCAUACGUCCUGAGGGAGAAAGUGGGGGAUCUUCGGACCUCACGCUAUCAGAUGAGCCUAGGUCGGAUUAGCUAGUUGGUGGGGUAAAGGCCUACCAAGGCGACGAUCCGUAACUGGUCUGAGAGGAUGAUCAGUCAUACUGGAACUGAGACACGGUCCAGACUCCUACGGGAGGCAGCAGUGGGGAAUAUUGGACAAUGGGCGAAAGCCUGAUCCAGCCAUGCCGCGUGUGUGAAGAGGGCCUUCGGAUUGUAAAGCACUUUAAGUUGGGAGGAAGGGCAGUAAGUUAAUACCUUGCUGUUUUGACGUUACCAACAGAAUAAGCACCGGCUAACUUCGUG
rnacentral:rRNA from 1 species